rnacentral:rRNA from 1 species
UACGGAGGGUGCAAACGUUGCUCGGAAUCAUUGGGCGUAAAGCGUACGUAGGCGGUCUAUUAAGUCUGAUGUGAAAGCCCGGGGCUCAACCUCGGAAAGCCAUUGGAAACUGAUAGACUUGAGAAUAGGAGGGGCAAGUGGAAUUUCUGGUGUAGGAGUGAAAUCCGUAGAGAUCAGAAGGAACACCGGUGGCGAAGGCGACUUGCUGGACUAUUUCUGACGCUGAUGUACGAAAGCAUGGGGAGCAAACAGG